UAGGGCCUACGGGAGGCAGCAGUGAGGAAUAUUGGUCAAUGGGAGAGAUCCUGAACCAGCCAAGCCGCGUGAGGGAAGACGGCCCUAUGGGUUGUAAACCUCUUUUGUCGGAGAACAAAACCCGGGACGUGUCCCGGACUGCGUGUAUCCGAAGAAAAAGCAUCGGCUAACUCCGUGCCAGCAGCCGCGGUAAUACGGAGGAUCCGAGCGUUAUCCGGAUUUAUUGGGUUUAAAGGGUGCGUAGGCGGUUUGAUAAGUUAGAGGUGAAAUGUCGGGGCUCAACCCCGAAACUGCCUCUAAUACUG
rnacentral:rRNA from 1 species